rnacentral:lncRNA from 1 species
GCUGUCUGCUCAGUGCCAGGUUUUAGACACAAGCUUCAGCAAAUUGCUGAUUUUAUUUUUAUUUUUAAAGUGUUUAUUUUUAUUUUGAAAGUGUUUUAUUUUCUAUUGUCAGAGGAGAUUAUCACCUUCGCAAUUGCAGUGUUGCUGGAACCAUUGCAGCCAUUGCUGUGCUAAACUGUGAUGUCACAACACUUUGAUCACGUAAGACAAACUGAGCACGAAACAAGCACGGCCUCUUACCGAGAUGUGACCUACAGCCUUCUGCAGCGAGGCCCAGGCUGUCCAGACACUGUGGUGAAGCAACUGUGUACAUCACCUCAGCCCAACUUCUUCUGGAUCUGUACAACUGGAUAUCUUUGGAAGACCUCUGUUCUUCUCCAUACUCCAUACAAAGAUAAGCGGCAGGAUUGGUCUCAAGUGUGUAUCACAUCCCACGCUCUGUAUGCAUGCUCUGAAAUACUCUCUCAAGCAAAAGGACACCCUCUUUCCAUAAUACUUCCACAGCAUGUGAUGGUGCUCAAUCUUUUUGAGGUAAUUACCUGAUAACUCACUAGAAAUACAAAUUAUCUCAGCUGUAGCUCCAGCAGCUGUAGCUAUGUUAAUAUAACAUAGCUAUCCAUCAUCCAUGUGUUCUUUUAGAUGGCUUCUUUGUCAUAUUUUCACAUGAUUAGUACCUUUUUUGGAUUAUUUCUUAUGUCUUAUUUGGGGUUCUCAAAUGACAUCACAGACUUUUUACACUAUGUCUCUAAAACCACAAAAGAAAAUAAUAUCACUGUUCCUAAGUUCCUUAACUUUUCUGGGAUUUGUUAUGUCGUUAUAGACAGAGCCUAGCACAAUAUCCUAUUCAUAACGACAGAUCUCUCAUAAAGACUAGAAAGAGUUAAAAUCCCCCCCUCCUUUUUUUUUUUGGAGGGUGGGAAAAUGUAAAUAUGUUCAAUCUAACUGAUGUUUAAUGAGAUUUGCAAGCUCUCCUAUAGCCCCUCUCAGCACCAAAGCCACUUGCCUAAAAUCUGAGCAGAGCACCCUGAUGGUUGGGUGACAAUGCAUACCAGCAGCACAGCCUUUGCCUUUUUCUGAGGGCUGGGCUGGGUGCCAAGGAGCCUGUACACCAAAGGCGUGUUCUUACAUUGCAUUGCAGUGAGUGCUCCACAAAUCCCCCUUGGCUCUUCCAUCAGCAAAAUGGGACUGAAAGGUUUUGGAUGCAGGCAAUCUGUGUUACUGCUCCUGACACUCUGGAGCAGUGUUGAAAUGGUGAUUUCAGGGAUUGAUGACAGUCUUUCACUCUGCUGUAUAAAAUGAAGCAAACGUAAUAAGCAAAUACUAUUUUGCUGUUCAUUGCUGGGUUGUGACAGCCUUGAUACACUCUGAGAAUGUUGUUUUAUAGGAAUUGAAGAGAAAAUGCUAUCAAACAGAAAACAUUUAGGCAAUGCUGCUAAAGAAUAAACUAAUGUGAAACAGUGAAGCCA